rnacentral:rRNA from 1 species
GGUGAACGCUGGCGGCGUGCCUAAUACAUGCAAGUCGAGCGAACAGACGAGGAGCUUGCUCCUCUGACGUUAGCGGCGGACGGGUGAGUAACACGUGGAUAACCUACCUAUAAGACUGGGAUAACUUCGGGAAACCGGAGCUAAUACCGGAUAAUAUAUUGAACCGCAUGGUUCAAUAGUGAAAGACGGUUUUGCUGUCACUUAUAGAUGGAUCCGCGCCGCAUUAGCUAGUUGGUAAGGUAACGGCUUACCAAGGCGACGAUGCGUAGCCGACCUGAGAGGGUGAUCGGCCACACUGGAACUGAGACACGGUCCAGACUCCUACGGGAGGCAGUAGUAGGGAAUCUUCCGCAAUGGGCGAAAGCCUGACGGAGCAACGCCGCGUGAGUGAUGAAGGUCUUCGGAUCGUAAAACUCUGUUAUUAGGGAAGAACAAAUGUGUAAGUAACUAUGCACGUCUUGACGGUACCUAAUCAGAAAGCCACGGCUAACUACGUG